UCGAGAAUCUUCGGCAAUGGGCGCAAGCCUGACCGAGCGACGCCGCGUGGAGGAUGAAGGCCUUCGGGUUGUAAACUCCUGUCGAGGGGGAGGAAGGGGUAACCUUGACCGAUCCCUGGAGGAAGCACGGGCUAAGUUCGUGCCAGCAGCCGCGGUAAGACGAACCGUGCGAACGUUAUUCGGAAUCACUGGGCUUAAAGCGCGUGUAGGCGGGCGGGUACGUCGGCCACUGAAAGCCCCCGGCUCAACCGGGGAAGUGGUGCCGAAACGGCCGGCCUGGAGGGGCGUAGGGGGACCUGGAACUUCCGGUGGAGCGGUGAAAUGCGUUGAGAUCGGAAGGAACGCCCGUGGCGAAAGCGAGGUCCUGGACGCCAUCUGACGCUGAGACGCGAAAGCCAGGGGAGCGAACG
rnacentral:rRNA from 1 species